UACGGGGGGGGCAAGCGUUGUUCGGAAUUACUGGGCGUAAAGAGCUCGUAGGCGGCCAACUAAGUCCGACGUGAAAUCCCCAAGCUUAACUUGGGAACUGCGUCGGAUACUGGAUGGCUUGAAUUCGGGAGAGGGAUGCAGAAUUCCAGGUGUAGCGGUGAAAUGCGUAGAUAUCUGGAGGAAUACCGGUGGCGAAGGCGGCAUCCUGGACCGACAUUGACGCUGAUGAGCGAAAGCUAGGGGAGCAAACGGG
rnacentral:rRNA from 1 species